GACGAACGCUGGCGGCGUGCUUAACACAUGCAAGUCGAACGGAAAGGCCCCUUUGGGGGUACUCGAGUGGCGAACGGGUGAGUAACACGUGAGUAACCUGCCCUUGACUUCGGGAUAACUUCAGGAAACUGGGGCUAAUACCGGAUAGGAAUCCUUGCUGCAUGGUGGGGGUUGGAAAGCUUCGGCGGUUUUGGAUGGACUCGCGGCUUAUCAGCUUGUUGGUGGGGUAGUGGCUUACCAAGGCUUUGACGGGUAGCCGGCCUGAGAGGGCGACCGGCCACAGUGGGACUGAGAUACGGCCCAGACGCCGACGGGAGGCAGCAGUGGGGAAUAUUGCACAAUGGGCGGAAGCCUGAUGCAGCAACGCCGCGUGCGGGAUGACGGCCUUCGGGUUGUAAACCGCUUUCAGCAGGGGCGAAGCUUGUGGUGACGGUACCUGCAGAAGAAGCACCGGCUAACUACGUG
rnacentral:rRNA from 1 species